rnacentral:rRNA from 1 species
CGGGGUGCAGCAGGCGCGAAAACUCUACAAUGCAGGCAACUGCGAUAGGGGGACAUCGAGUGGCAUCCACCUUGGGUGCCUGUCCAACCGUCUAAAAAACGGUUGUUAGCAAGGGCCGGGUAAGACCGGUGCCAGCCGCCGCGGUAAUACCGGCGGCUCGAGUGGUGGCCGAUAUUAUUGAGUCUAAAGGGUCCGUAGCCGGCUUUGCAAGUCCCCUGGGAAAUCCAGCGGCUUAACCGUUGGGCUUUCAUGGGAUACUACAUUGCUUGGGACUGGGAGAGGUAGGAGGUACUCGGGGGGUAGGGGUGAAAUCCUGUAAUCCUCCGGGGACCACCGGUGGCGAAGGCGUCCUACCAGAACAGGUCCGACGGUGAGGGACGAAAGCUAGGGGCACGAACCGGAUUAGAUACCCGGGUAGUCCUAGCCGUAAACGAUGCCCGCUAGGUGUCACGACGGUCGUGAAUCGUCGUGGUGCCGUAGGGAAGCCGCGAAGCGGGCCACUUGGGAAGUACGGCCGCAAGACUGAAACUUAAAGGAAUUGGCGGG